UAGGGAAUCUUCGGCAAUGGGGGCAACCCUGACCGAGCAACGCCGCGUGAGUGAAGAAGGUUUUCGGAUCGUAAAGCUCUGUUGUAAGAGAAGAACGUGUGUGAGAGUGGAAAGUUCACACAGUGACGGUAACUUACCAGAAAGGGACGGCUAACUACGUGCCAGCAGCCGCGGUAAUACGUAGGUCCCGAGCGUUGUCCGGAUUUAUUGGGCGUAAAGCGAGCGCAGGCGGUUUAAUAAGUCUGAAGUUAAAGGCAGUGGCUUAACCAUUGGUCGCGUUGGAAAAUGUUAAACUUGAGUGCAGAAGGGGAGAGUGGAAUUCCAUGUGUAGCGGUGAAAUGCGUAGAUAUAUGGAGGAACACCGGUGGCGAAAGCGGCUCUCUGGUCUGUAACUGACGCUGAGGCUCGAAAGCGUGGGGAGCAAACAGG
rnacentral:rRNA from 1 species